rnacentral:piRNA from 1 species
UACGUGGCAAUUGGUGUGUAAG